rnacentral:lncRNA from 1 species
GUCUUUUCGAGGUAGGAGUCGACUCCUGUGAGGUAUGGUGCUGGGUGCAGAUGCAGUGUGGCUCUGGAUAGCACCUUAUGGACAGUUGUGUCCCCAAGGAAGGAUGAGAAUAGCUACUGAAGUCCUAAAGAGCAAGCCUAACUCAAGCCAUUGGCACACAGGCAUUAGACAGAAAGCUGGAAGUUGAAAUGGUAAGUGAAACUGUAUCCAAGUAAGCAGGUAACUGGGCAAACUUCCUACGGCACAAAUGGCUUUUUAGUUACCUCCUAGUGCUGAAUGCAUUAAAUAAAUGGCGGAUUCUUGUCUUGUUAUGAUUAAUAAGAAAGUUUGUAAAUGCAGCCUGGAUGAUGAUAAGCAAAUGCUGACUGAACAUGAAGGUCUUAAUUAGCUCUAACUGACUAAAGGCAUUUGUUAGUUUUGGCAGGGGGUGAACACUCAUCUGUGGCUAUUCUAAGACCACUCUUAUUUCUUAGGUGGAGUCCAACUUGCCUGGACCAGCUUAAUGGUUCUGCUCCUGGUAACGUUUUUAUCCAUGGAUGACUUGCUUGGGUAAGGACAUGAAGACAGUUCCUGUCAUACCUUUUAAAGGUAUGGAGAGUCGGCUUGACUACACUGUGUGGAGCAAGUUUUAAAGAAGCAAAGGACUCAGAAUUCAUGAUUGAAGAAAUGCAGGUUAGUUUAAACUUUGAAGGAAAUUUUUAAGGUGGCAAAAGGUUUUGGUGGCAUAUACACCUUAAUCUGUAGAUGGGAGUGAUUAGCUGUUUAAAAGUUAAAAUGUGACUGAGAAGGAAAUUGAGUAGGGCAAAUUUUAAAUGGGUAUUAUUUUUCAUCUUCAAACAGGCAGACCUGUUAUCCUAAACUAGGUGAGUCAGCUUUUGGUACAUGUGAUGAUUUUCAGUGUAACCAAUGAUGUAAUGAUUCUGCCAAAUGAAAUAUAAUGAUAUCACUGUAAAACCGUUCCAUUUUGAUUCUGAGGUUACUCUACUAACAAGCAUCACACAUUUGUAUUUUGCCCUGAUUAAUAUGUUGGCUUCGCUUUCAGGGUUUUUAAUGACCACAACAAGCAAGCAUGCAGCUUACUGCUUGAAAGGGUCUUGCCUCACCCAAGCUAGAGUGCAGUGGCCUUUGAAGCUUACUACAGCCUCAAACUUCUGGGCUCAAGUGAUCCUCAGCCUCCCAGUGGUCUUUGUAGACUGCCUGAUGGAGUCUCAUGGCACAAGAAGAUUAAAACAGUGUCUCCAAUUUUAAUAAAUUUUUGCAAUCCAUCUGGA